rnacentral:tRNA from 1 species
GCGGAGAUGGCACAGCGGCUACUGCGCUUCCCUGCAGAGGAAGUAUUCGCGGGUUCGAGUCCCGCUCUCCGCU